GACGAACGCUGGCGGCGUGCUUAACACAUGCAAGUCGAACGAUGAUGCGGUGCUUGCACCGUUGAUUAGUGGCGAACGGGUGAGUAACACGUGAGUAACCUGCCCUCUUCUUUGGGAUAACGGUCUGAAAGGGCUGCUAAUACUGAAUAUUCACAUGUCUUCGCAUGGGGGUGUGUGGAAAGAGAUGCUUUUGGGUGUUUUUGGUGGGGGAUGGGCUCGCGGCCUAUCAGCUUGUUGGUGGGGUAGUGGCCUACCAAGGCUUUGACGGGUAACCGGUCUGAGAGGGUGACCGGUCACAUUGGGACUGAGAUACGGCCCAGACUCCUACGGGAGGCAGCAGUGGGGAAUUUUGCACAAUGGACGCAAGUCUGAUGCAGCGACGCCGCGUGAGGGAUGUAGGCCUUCGGGUUGUGAACCUCUUUCGCUCAUGGUCAAGCCGCAGCUUUGGGUUGUGGUGAGGGUAGUGGGUAAAGAAGCGCCGGCUAACUACGUGCCAGCAGCCGCGGUAAUACGUAGGGCGCGAGCGUUGUCCGGAAUUAUUGGGGCGUAAAGGGCUUGUAGGCGGUUGGUCGCGUCUGCCGUGAAAUCCUCUGGCUUAACUGGGGGCGUGCGGUGGGUACGGGCUGGCUUGAGUGCGGUAGGGGAGACUGGAAUUCCUGGUGUAGCGGUGGAAUGCGCAGAUAUCAGGAGGAACACCGGUGGCGAAGGCGGGUCUCUGGGCCGUUACUGACGCUGAGGAGCGAAAGCGUGGGGAACGAACAGG
rnacentral:rRNA from 1 species